rnacentral:rRNA from 1 species
UACAGAGGGGGCAAGCGUUAUUCGGAAUUAUUGGGCGUAAAGGGCGCGUAGGCGGCUUUGCAAGUGACGGGUGAAAUCCCUCGGCUUAACUGAGGAAGUGCACCCGAAACUGGCAGGCUAGAGUACUAAAGAGGGUCGCGGAAUUCCCGGUGUAGAGGUGAAAUUCGUAGAUAUCGGGAGGAACACCGGUGGCGAAGGCGGCGACCUGGGUAGAUACUGACGCUGAGGUGCGAAAGCGUGGGGAGCAAACAGG